rnacentral:misc_RNA from 1 species
AAGUCGUAACAAGGUUUCCGUAAAUGAACCUGCGGAAGGAUCAUUAACAUAGCCCGGAAAGUUGUAGUGAUUCAGAGACCUCUCUACGUGCGAACAUUGGAACAGUUACAAUCGAGCGGUAGUUCUAUAGGCAAUGUUUCCCCAAGCAGUUAGUGUCGGAAGGUGUCAUUGAUUGUGCAAGGAUAGCGCUUCUACGAUUCCUGUAGACCGUACACUCGGGCAGGAGCUUUGCCAAAGGGUCCCCAUGCCCCCUAAUAACCCCACAGUUUAAUGUGAAGCUCAAUGUAAUACAUUGGGUAAAAAAACCGAACAACUGUUAACAAUGGAUAUCUUGGUUCUC